UUAUAGAACCACUAGUAACUCAUAGACUCUUCCUGUUAUGUGAAAUAAAUGAAGACCAGCCAACUAAGAAAGGCAAAGGCUAUGUAUUCUGAGCUCAUCUGGAUCAGAGGAGUCAGCACUGUCAUUUGUGUUUGGCAGAGACUGAAAGGCAGAUGUUCGUCUGAAGAUUUCAAAGCCCACUGCUGAUUUAAGGUCAUUCACAUUCAGCCAUGAAGCUGCUCUGAAGACACAGGAACUGCAUAGCUCCCUACUGGGAAUGUCAAGGGCUGUGAAAGGUCUAAGGUUUUAUCCUACUUGCAACCAACAAGCUAUGCAGCCACAGUUUUAUGGAUGCUGUCAAAAGACAUGACACUCCUGGCACUUCAAAUGCAUCAAAGGUCCAGAGAGAAGCUUCUUCUGGUCACCUUGAUCUUGUGAUGCAAGGCAGGUGGGAGCAAGGGCUCCACCUCUGCAGACACAGAGAUGACGGGGUCGCCAUGCCGGCGUUUUAGUCCCGGUUUCCUCUGCUCGAGUAGUUGGUGGCCUCCUGCCUGUUCCCUAACAUAACUUCACUUUCCUUACCUGCAAAACGAAAUUAGUAUUUCCUCCCUCACAAGGUGCUUGAUGCCCUUCCCCUUGCGUUUACUUUGCCUGAGAGACUAUAUCAUAUCUAUGAUUUUGUGAAUGGGGCAAAAGGAAUUGAGAGUGUCAGGGUAUACCUUAUAAAUAAGCCACUAAAGGUUACAUCCUCAUUCCACAAACUGACCUAAACAAUUUGGCUGUCACUAAUAGAUUAUUUUGGUCAGUUAUGGCAUUUAGAGGGAGAAGAGAGAGUAUAUAUAUAUGGG
rnacentral:lncRNA from 1 species